rnacentral:snRNA from 1 species
GCUCCUUCUUUGCCUUUGGCUUAGAUUAAGUGCAGUAGUCGUUCUUUCCAGAUUAAUCUCUGGAAGCUUCCCUACGGGGAUUCUAAGAUUAUUCUUGUUUUUGGAAACCGUCUCUGAGGCGCUGGGCUCUGCCCAUCUUCAGAGGCACAGUGUCCCCAGUAUUGCACUGCCUCUGGGCGACGCGACCUCAU